rnacentral:lncRNA from 10 species
CUCUGCACAGCAGCACUCCCUGCCUUCUUGGACACGCUAUGUCCUUUUGUGCCUUGGCCUUGUACAUGCUGUUCCCUCUGCUUGGAACAUCUCCUCCCACCACCUGCCUGGCAGACUCACGUAGCCUUCAACACUCAGCUCAGCGCAUUCAUCCGCUGACUCAGCCAACAUUUCUGGAGCCCCUCCUGUGUGCCAGGCAUGAUCUAUGUGCUGGCAUUGAACAAAAAAGGGAGUGACUGAGGUGCCUGCCAAGGGGCCAGUGUGUGCUGGAGCCUGGUGACCCGGUGAGAGACAAAUGACUGCAUCAGAACUCCUGCUUCUGCGAGGGAGGUAGUGCCCGAGGGGACUCAGAAUCAGACAGAUCAGGGGUUCAAUCCCAGCUCUGCCUCCUCCUAGCAGCCUGAGUACGGGUGAGAUCGGGGAGCAGGGACGGGCUGGAAGGGAGAAAACAAACAGAUGCAUUCACGUGACCUCAUUUCACCUUCACCGCAGCCCUGCCAGGCAAAUUUCUGUUCCCCCCAACCGCCCCGCCGUUUUGCAGAGGUGAAAACAACAGCUCAGAGAGAUCAAGUGCCUUGUCUGACACCACACAGCUACUAAGUGGGGAGCUGGGAUUCCCCAUGCCCCAGGAUUCCCAAACGGAUGCCACCUACUCCACCUCCAGGGCUGUCUGCCACAUCUGCGUCCUCCUAGGCUGUGGCUUCCUUAAUAUGUUCUUUAAAUUGACUUACUGCCUUUUUUAUUUAAAUGCAUUUCUUUUAAAAUGAGACUUUAUAUUACUCCUAUAAAUGGAAAAUCACAGGAUUCAUGGACUAGUUAUGUAUAUUUUUAUAAUGCACAUUAAAA